GCAUCAACUAUACCUGGCAUGAGUAUUGCGACGGGUGUAUUGAAUAGUGCCAUGGGCAUGGCAGGUCACAUGAUGAAUACUGGCACUGACCUGGCGACUAAAGCUAUUAGCAUAGCGACCAGUAUGGGUUAGUCAUACAAGUUCUCCAAACAUCAGAAGGAGCCGCUGUUCCAGUUGAGCAAUAUUUAUGAAGAAAUCUUGCAUAAAUGUAAUAACAAUAAAUACUGUAAAACUAUAUAUGUAUAUCUGGUACCAAUAUUUAUUUCCACUAAGC